AGUACUUGGUAGAAAGAAAAACAGUAUUUCUAGUAAACAAUGGAAGUAGCGAAAAAUGACCCACGAAGCGACACUCACUAAAAGAUACCAAAAACAACAAGAGAAAGCUCGCUGUCUCUUGCAAUGAUGAUUCCUACUUCAAUCUCUGUCUUCCUCUACGACAGCUUCGAUCCCAUUUUAUUCAGGGUUCAAUCUAUUUUGGGCGAGCAAACUGGGUUUCCAUGGAUAAAGAUAGUGAUUUUAGGAGUUUUGCUUGAUUGUAUGAAAAUGUAACAGUUAAAAACCACACAAUGGGAUUCUAAAUGGUGCCUGUUGAAGAGUCAAAUCAUGCUUAUAUUUUAGAUGCUAAUAUAAAAGACGAUACAACAGGACCAUGACUUAUAACUGGGUCCAUUGUAUAUAAACACCUAAGAAGUCCAUAUUAUAGCAUGGAAGGUUCUCAAGUUAAGCCAAAUGAAACAAGUAACCGAUAUUGUGUAUUUUUGGGCAUAUGCAAAAUGUUCAAAUGUUCCUUGAUAGCAACAAGGAUUGCUAUUUUUCCA